CCGAACUUUUACUUUUUGGACUGGAAGUGGAGGAGAAAGGAGUUCAGGAGGGGAGGGAGUAGUAGGAAGGACGCGUCAGACUCCCGUUGACAAAUGAGAAUGGGGUAAGCUGUUGCGAUAUGAUUGGCCGCCAGAGACCGGUUGGGCGGACUUCGUGCGGACUGACAGGCAGCCCGCACAGCCUGUCUCUGGGUUCUGCGCCAGACGGGAGGACUUUGCGCUCAGCAGCCCCCAAAGGGAGGGGUAAGAGGGAGGGGUAAGAGGGAUGCGUCAAUUUUAAAAGACUAGCUGUUUAUUAAUUAUUUACUAUUAUUUCUUUCAUAAAAUUUAUGCACCCUUUUUUUAAAUUAAAAAACCCCAAAACUGGUUUACGAAAAAUAUAAAACAAUAAAAUUAUCAAAAGGAAUAAUUAACAGCAAUAAUAGUGUAAGACUUUUUAAAAGUUAAAAUAGCAAUAGAGUAAAAGUAAAAGUAGGUUAAAACUUGCAUUGACUACGUUAAUGACCAUUUUACCUAUUUAUGUAAAACAUGUUUAUACCACCAUAUUCAAAAAGGAAUAAAAUGCAAUUUAAUAUUAAAAUGCAUUUUUCUAAUAAACAAUAAACUGAAAGCCAGGCAAUCAUAAAAGCCUCUAAAUCUAGGGGACCUCGCCAGCCAGCCCGCUCCACAGCUCCACAGUCUUCACUCUCCAAAAUUGCAAACCCAAGACUUCAUGCGAGGGCAAGGCAACUUGGGCCCAGGAACUAUGAGACUCAGGGCUAGCCAGUGGGGCCCAAUUUGAAGCUCUGGGGCCCAACUUGGAAUCUUAGAGUCAGAACUACAAUCCAUCUAGACUGCCCUGGUGCGGGGGCCCCCUUAGGAGCGGUCUGCGGGGCCCAAUUUGGCCCAAUUGCUCCAAUUGCCUUAAGGCCAGCCCUGAUGAGGCUGUGCAGGGGUUGGGAUGACAAGCGCUGCCACUUCUGGGUCCCUGGUGUCACUAUUCAAAGUACAGACUCAAUGACUUGUUAUGGAAAUAAAAGGGGGGAAAUAAAGGGGGGCACUUAUUGGAAAUCAUUUUUGUCACCUCUAAACACCUCUCCUCCUUCAAAACCCCAGGACAAUGAGCCUUUGCACUGUUAAUGGAGAAGGCUGGCAAAUUGUAUCCCUUCUGGUUUCUAUUGGCAAAACUUGUUGCAUUGUUGCAAGGAAGUGUCAGAAUUGUAUCCCUUUGUACUUGACCAUGCUGGACUCCUAACCUUUGAAAAUCACAUAAAAUCAAUGCCAUAACCAAUUCUCCUAUUUCAAUGACAUUUUGCUUCAAAAGGAAAGGCGGACUUGGACAUCAUCUUCCUCCAUAAUCCUCGAAGGGAGAGGUCACGUACUCAACUUGGAUACCACCCUCCUCCAUAAUCCUUGGGAUAUACAGUCAAGUACAGAACACCCCUCCCUUGAGGGGAACAAUGAACAUCUGUUGAUGGGUUUCCUGAGGCCAGGUGUUCCCACAGCCCAUCCUCAGGAAGGCCAGAUAGUUUUAUUGUUAUAGAUAGUUUUAUUGUUAUUUAGGUGGCGGGAACUUAAGGUGUUAAGAACUUGAUCUGAGAACUGAGGCAAGUUGAUGAACUUGGGCAACCUCACGACUCCCCUCCCUCCUUGUGACAUCAUGUUGAUGUAUCAGCGAUGUAUGAAUGAUGGUUCUGGAAAUGUAUUCUGGGUAGGGAGGGAAGGUCUUCAAGGAGCUUGUAACCCAUGUUCGGCGUUCUUACUCUGUGUGGAGACCUGUUGCGCAAUAAUAAAG